rnacentral:rRNA from 1 species
UACGUAGGUGACCAGCGUUGUCCGGAUUUACUGGGCGUAAAGAGCGCGCAGGCGGUCGUUCAAGUCGAGUGUGAAAGCCCCCGGCUCAACUGGGGAGGGUCACUCGAUACUGAUCGACUUGAAGGCAGGAGAGGGAAGCGGAAUUCCCGGUGUAGUGGUGAAAUGCGCAGAUAUCGGGAAGAACACCCGUGGCGAAGGCGGCACUCUGGGACGGUACUGGACGCUGAGACGCGAAAGCGUGGGGAGCGAAC